UAGGGAAUCUUCGGCAAUGGACGAAAGUCUGACCGAGCAACGCCGCGUGAGUGAAGAAGGUUUUCGGAACGUUAAACUCUGUUGUUAGAGAAGAACAAGGACGUUAGUAACUGAACGUCCCCUGACGGUAUCUAACCAGAAAGCCACGGCUAACUACGUGCCAGCAGCCGCGGUAAUACGUAGGUGGCAAGCGUUGUCCGGAUUUAUUGGGCGUAAAGCGAGCGCAGGCGGUUUCUUAAGUCUGAUGUGAAAGCCCCCGGCUCAACCGAGGAGGGUCAUUGGAAACUGGGAGACUGGAGUGCAGAAGAGGAGAGUGGAAUUCCAUGUGUAGCGGUGAAAUGCGUAGAUAUAUGGAGGAACAACAGUGGCGAAGGCGGCUCUCUGGUCUGUAACUGACGCGGAGGCUCGAAAGCGUGGGGAGCAAACAGG
rnacentral:rRNA from 1 species